rnacentral:rRNA from 1 species
CAGUCGCCACGGUAAUACGAAGGGUGCAAGCGUUACUCGGAAUUACUGGGCGUAAAGCGUGUGUAGGUGGUUGUUUAAGUCUGUCGUGAAAGCCCUGGGCUCAACCUGGGAAUUGCGAUGGAUACUGGGCGACUAGAGUGCGGUAGAGGAUAGUGGAAUUUCCGGUGUAGCAGUGAAAUGCGUAGAGAUCGGAAGGAACAUCUGUGGCGAAGGCGACUAUCUGGGCCAACACUGACACUGAGACACGAAAGCGUGGGGAGCAAACAGGAUUAGAUACCCGAGUAGUCCCUGUCUCUUAUAC